AGACUCCUUUCUUCGUACAAAUGCUCGUAGGCGAAAGAGACCUUCCUUUGCUCCUGUCGGCGGGAUCAGCCAGUGUCCCCGUGUGUAAGGCCCUUUCCUGAAAGAGGUCGAAUAGUUCCUGUCCCAUUCAUACUACUGUUGGCUUCUGUGCUAUGUCUAGCGGCUGGUGAAUCCUACCCAGUAUCGGAAUUGGAUUUGAUAUUUCCUCGGUUUACGAGAAGGGUUUUAAUGGCGACCGGACUCCUCUUCUCUGGAAGUCUAAUGGUUUGGGGGACGUCGAUUCCCUGGAUUUUCUGGCUUCCCUUUCCCUUCAACCAGCCACUCUUUUAGUUCCCAAAAUAUAUAUAAUCCAGAAUCCUUUUAAGCGCCUUAUCACGAAAGUGACCAAGCAAGCAGAUGAUGAUGGUUCAGCCGGUAAGCUAACAAGCAACCGAAAUGAAGGAAGAGGAGACCCUUCUAUUAUAAGUUGAAAGCGAAGUCGAUAGUCCUCGUAUUGGUAAUUAUUAUACGCUAAAAAAUCUAUAUAAGAUAUAGAAGGCAAAAUAUGAGAAAAUGAAAUAAAUAAAGAAAAAGAAGAAGGCCCUCUCCUUACAGUGGCUGAACGCUCCUCUACAACUACCUUUCGCCCAACAUGAUCACGAACGAAGACAGAGAAUUGCGUAGAUAGGAGGAUAAAAUGAACCAACCCACUUGUCCUGAUCGAAAGAAGAAAGAAAGAGAAUAGUGUAUCAUUUUCAACCAGUCAAGUGGCCCAAAGGCCACCUUUUGCCCAGGGGACAUUGUGUGAGAACAAUGUCGGGGACAAGGUGAGAACAUUCCGUUGGUUACCCCUUUAAGUGUCGGUUCUUCCAUAUUUAGAUAUGGAGAUAGAUCCAUAUAGAGAUCUAUAUCUUUCUAUCGAUAAAUAGAUCUAUUGAGAAAUGGAUAUUGAUCUGGUUUCAAGAUCUAUGAACAAGAGAGAUCCCUAAAUAUCCAUUUGUGGCUCCUUUCCAACCAGUCAAGUGGCCCAAGGGCCACCUUUUGCCCAGGGGACAUCGUCGGAGAACAAUGUCGGGGACAGGGUGAGAACCUUCCGUUGGUUACGCCCUUUAAGUGUCGGUUCUUCCAUAUUUAGAUAUGGAGAUAGAUCCAUAUAGAGAUCUAUAUCUUUCUAUCGAUAAAUAGAUCUAUUGAGAAAUGGAUAUUGAUCUGGUUUCAAGAUCUAUGAACAAGAGAGAUCCCUAAAUAUCCAUUUGAGAAAAUAGAUGAAUAGAUAGGGCGAAGCCAGCUGAAGGAAGGUCGCGUUAGCGCCCCCUAUUUCACUAAAGCAAGAAGGGAGAAAGUUGACUUUGAGAAAGAAGGGCUUCUAUUUAGAUUAGUUUCUUAGUAAAAGAUAAGGCAAGAAGCAAGGGCGUAGCAGCUGCGCGAAAGCCGUUGCGCCUUAGCGCACCCCUUUUCUUGCUCGUUAGCGCCCCCCUACCCCUAUUAUUUAUAUUAUAGUCAUAAAGGAACUAAAGGAAAUUUGACAACCUUACUAAUAGAAAGGGGAUGCGCUCAAGCAUGCGAAGAAAGCUCGAAGAGCUUCUCUUAUAUUAUAGAAAGGUUUGUAGAAAGGGGAUUCUUCAAAUAUCCCAUGUUGUAGGGGCUUCAAAGAAAGCUUGUAGUUUAGGGGUGCGCAGGUUUGGAACCCUAUACAAGGGGCUAGCGCGCAAUGGCUUUCUCUGAUAGAGGCUCGCUUCUUCAAGUUCAAGUUCCGCUUGCUGCUUUUCAUUUUGAUAGGAGUAGGUGCUUGCAGCUCGCUCGCUGUCUACUAAAUGAGCCUUCACUGCCCGCCCGGCCCCUAUCUUUAAUCUUAAGUAAAGUGAAGUCAAAUCAAUGAAGUGAACAGCCCAACCUCUUUGUUUGAAGCUUUGUUUCCCCUAAUUCCGAAACACAACAAUAGACUUGCCACUAUAGUGACGGAAAAAGCUUCUCUUUGAUAAGCGGUUAUAGGGGAGUUCAGAAAGGAUCUGAUCGUAGAUAGAGACUUCAACCUGUGCGGGGGUAGGGGCGGAUGUAGCCAAGUGGAUCAAGGCAGUGGAUUGUGAAUCCACCACGCGCGGGUUCAAUCCCCGUCGUUCGCCCAUCAAUAAAUGGACCGUUUGUUUCGGAGACACAAGACAAACCUAGAAAGCAUUUUUUCUGCAAGUCAUCUCGAGGCUUUCAAACGCAUCCAAGCAAUUGGUAUCCGAUUGAAAGAUAGAAAGCAUAGAUUCGCGUCGCCUACUUGCUGAAAGCAAAAAUGGAAUGGCCGAUCAUGAAUUCUAUGACGUUUUUAAGACCUCACUAAUCAGCCAACCACUUUUUAGUUCAUAAUGAAUGAACCCCCGGAUGAAGAAAAAAUAUCCCCUCCCUUUUACUAAACCAUGGGGAGCCCCGAGUAGUUUACCGGACAAAUUGAGUUGUCGUGACGAUACCUUUCAACAUCGGAAAUUCUCUUCAUCACGAGACUGAUCGGAUCUGCCGUAGACACCCGAGAGAUCUUCACAAGGCAGGCUAAAAUAAAAGACUAAGAGGCGCUGCAAGCGAGCAAAGAGUUAUGCUUUCAUUUCUUUGUUGAGAUUGAAAUCUUGGGAAAGGGUUAGGUAUAAUGCACGCAGGCUAAGUCAAGAAAAGGACUUCCUUACCUUUCAUUCAUAGUAGUCUUAAUGACUAGUAGUUUGAAGCCUUAAGAAAGCGGUUUUUUUUCGGCACUCGCUUCCUUCGUCUUAAGUAAAGUUCAGUUGACUUUUUCGAUUCGGAACUCUUAGUCGAGCUGAUGGCGAGAUCGAUUUUUUGUUCGAGGUUCAAGAGGAAGGAGAGGAACCACCGCCCAAUGGUGCUUUUACGAAAGUAUGGUCACCGGUGGCUAAUACCUUCUCGAGACUAUCGAACCUGAAAUCCACUUUCCAUCGCUCUUUUUAGGUUGGCAUAAUAUAGAAAGAGAGUGCCAAGAAAGAACACAUACCUAUCACUUUUGGAAGGUUUGGAACCCUUACUCAACAUAGGGUCCAAAAACCCGACAUACCCUUUUUUUAGAGCGUAUAAGGGGAAAAGAGCUCUUGCAUCGUUAGCCGCUUUUCAGCAUUUCCUGCCUGAGUUGUUGACCAUCACCUGACCUCACACGGGAGGCCCCGCGCCGAGUGAUUCUCCCCCAAAAAAGUCUACAUGUGAUGUUCCGAAAACAGAAACAUGUGAUUUAGUAAAUUAGAACCCAUUGUGGGGCAGGGAACAACUAUCAACUAGUUUGAAAAGUUCUUCCAUUUAGUAAUGGAAGUCAUCCGUUGUCACUUUCGUUGGGUAUGGUAGAGAGGCUUGAGAAGGUGGACAAUCCUUCAGUGAAGACCUAACGAGAGGCUGAAUUCAAACACACCCAAAAUCCACAAGAAUCGUACGAACAUCUAUGGAGCGUAGCAAGGAACCUUGGCUUCAGCUCUCGUCACCUCACUCAAUCCUACAGCGGAAACUCGAGUCGAGGCGCUGCAAGCGAGCAAAGAAGCACUUCUUGUAACCAAAACAAAAACCCCAUGGAUCCGAAAUUGUUCUGGACCACGCCGCGUCAUUGAGACUGCCACCUUCCUAUUUGAGUAAGGAAUGAAUAUCGGACCCUACUGACGUUCAAUCGACGACCGGGCCUAGUGGUGCUUGCGGCUUUUCCUAUUUCGGCUUGGAUUGAAAAUACUGGACAGGAAAGGAAAACAAACUGUCUAGCCUUUCAAGCCUUACUAUACUAAGUAAAGGGGGAUGCGUUGUUAGCUGCUUUAACCCUACUUCUGCUCAACAUCGAUCCUCUCACAUACUUCCUCAAGCAGCGGAAGACUCAAUGCCCAAGCAGUUACACGUUGUUGAUUUCAGACUCCUUCGGUAGAGCCAACAACCAUUCAGUGAAUUGUCUUGUGUUACUAAGUUUCAAGACGUUCACUGAAUCCUUCACGAUGUUUUGGUGGCAGGUACUAGUACAUCGAAGCCUUAGAGAGCCGCUGGACUCCAGACAAGCCGUUACGAAGCGCCAUCAGCCCAGGUCAGGCGACCCGAAAGGACCAGACAUAAACCACCCGCUAAGAAAAGGGUAAAUAAGACAAGCGAUCAAGCUGGCAAGUCAGGGAUAGAGGAUGGAUUUUUCCAGGGUGUGUGAACUUCCAACUAUAUUCAGCCACAUGUGCGGGUGUGAAAGGAUUUUAUGGUCUCGGUCAUUCUUCUAUGAAAUAUCGAUUCUAUCAAUCAUUCCAUUUCAGAAUCAAGUCCCCCCUGAAUAAGUAAGGCCCCAUGAUUCCCCAAACCAGCUCCUGGCCUUACCCGGCGGAACCGGUCGGGGGUAUUCGGCAUGGGCGGAGAGAGCAUCUGAAGGGUUACUUCACCUUUGGUGAUCACACACCGACCCGGGCAAUCACUAGCUACAAUCGAUGGAAUUUUGAUUGAAACUAUUCAUAAAAAAAAGCUGCCUGAAGCCCCACCCGCCUUUUCUAUAUAGCUGCAUAACCAUAACAAGUUUUAUCUAAUGCCAUACCAAACCAAGACCUUUCCUACAAGGAAAGAAAGAGCCCGCGGCUCCCCUUUUUGAAUACCCCCCUGACUCCCCCCGGAAUGAGUUCUUUUUUGUGGGAUUUAGGGAUUCCUGUCUUUUGCUCAUAUUGUCUCCUAUAGAGAUGGAUUGAUAUGGGGCUUUCUACUUCUUACCUAUUCACUUCUACUUGAACCGUUCAACGAGCGUUGUAACGAUCCAAAGGAAAAUCUCCUGGCUCAGCACUAGUCAACUUGUGGGGUGUCACAUACACUGCAGACAACAACCGCAGCAGUCACCAGUCUGGUCCCCUACCCCACAAAGUAGCUUGAUGGCCAAACCACUCCCAAGGUGAAUAGUGCCCUAGGGGCCGACCCGGCACCGACCGGCUGAGACUCCCGCAUAGUAGGAGCGGACUGAGUCGGUAUUCGUCUACGAGAGACGCACUCGUAUUUCGAGGCUUCCCCCUUGUAAAUAUUCUUAGGUAAGAAAGCAAAAACUC
rnacentral:lncRNA from 1 species